rnacentral:lncRNA from 10 species
CAUGCUCUCUGCUGAUGUUUACCUUCACAUCUUCUAUCUCCCCAGGGGUUUCUCACAGGCUUUAUGUCAGUUUCUUGGAUGCAUCACCUUCUCCCUCUCAAUUUCGCAGUAUGUGGGUUGGGAGAAGGUUCCAGUUGUCCUUGUCCGUUCUCCAUUUUCUCAUAGCUGAAAGUUUUUAAUUUAUCUUUUAUGUAAUUAUAUAUAUUCAUAUCACCAUCCAUCAAGCUGGUUUUUAAAACUGAAAAUUAUUUCAUGUUUUUAGGAAGCUACUCGAUUGCAUGUAUGUAAGGCCAGCUCAUUUUAAUCUCAUAUUAAGUUAAUCAAGUAAAGACCUUUAUAAAAAAGAAGAUUUUGGGCUGGGCACGGUGGCUUAUGCCUGUAAUCCCAGUACUUUGGGAGGCCGAGGUGGGUGGAUCACGAGGUCAGGAGAUCAAGACCAUCCUGGCUAACAUGGUGAAACCCUGUCUCUACUAAAAAUACAAAAAAUUAGCCAGGUGUGGUGGCGGGCACCUGUAGUCCCAGCUACUUGGGAGGCUGAGGCAGGAGAAUGGCGUGAACCCAGGAGGCAAAGCUUGCAGUGAGCCGAGAUCGCGCCACUGCACUCCAGCCUGGGCAACAGAGUGAGACUCCGUCUCAAAAAAUAAAAAUAAAAAAACAAUAAUAAAGAAGAUUUUGGGUCAGUCGCGGUGGCUCACACCUAUAAUCCUAGCAGUUUGGGAGGCCGAGGUGGUGGAUCACAAGGUCAGGAGAUUGAGACCAUCCUGGCUAACAUGGUGAAACCCCGUCUCCACUAAAAAUACAAAAAAUUAGCCAGGCGUUGUGGCGGGUGCCUAUAGUCCCAGCUGCUCGGGUGGCUGAGGCAAGAGAAUGUCAUGAACCCGGGAGGCGGAGCUUGCAGUGAGUCGAGAUCACGCCACUGCACUCCAGACUGGGUGACAGAGCGAGACUCCGUCUCAAAAAAAAAAAAAAAAGAAGAUUUUGAAUUGUAAGGCAACCCACAUUGUUAAACUUCGUUUUAUUUUAUUUUUAUUUGAAGUUUUUAUUUGUAAAAAUAUAGAAACAGGGUUUCAAUAUGUCACCCAGGCUGAUCUUGACCUCCUGAGGCACAAGAAUCACUUGAACCCGGGAGGUGGAGCUUGCAGUGAGCUGAGAUCAUGCAACCGCACUCCAGCCUGGGCAACAGAGUGAGAGUCGGUCUCAAAAAAUAAAAAAAAAAAAAAAAAAAGAAAGAAAAAAAAAGGCUAGGGGUGGUGGCUCACACCUGUAACCCCAGCAGUUUGGGAGGCUAAGGUGGUGGAUCACAAGGUCAGGAGAUUGAGACCGUCCUGGCUAACACGGUGAGACCCCACCUCUACUAAAAAUACGAAAAAUUAGCCGGGCGUGGUUGCAGGCGCCUGUAGUUCCAGCUACUCAGGAGACUGAGGCAGGAGAAUAGCACAAACCCAGGAGGCAGAGCUUGCAGUGAGCUGAGAUCGCGCCACUGCACUCCAGCCUGGGCAACUGAGUGAGACUCCGUCUC